AAAGUGGAGCAAUCCAUGAGUAGAGUGGCAAACGGGUGAGUAACACGUGGGUGACCUGCCUUCGAGCGGGGGAUAACGUCCCGAAAGGGACGCUAAUACCGCAUAACAUCCUGCCUUUUAAGAGGUGGAGAUCAAAGCCGGGGAUCGCAAGACCUGGCACUUGAAGAGGGGCCCGCGCCUGAUUAGCUAGUUGGUGGGGUAAUGGCCUACCAAGGCAACGAUCAGUAUCCGGCCUGAGAGGGCGGACGGACACACUGGGACUGAGACACGGCCCAGACUCCUACGGGAGGCAGCAGUGGGGAAUUGUUCGCAAUGGGGGCAAGCCUGACGACGCAACGCCGCGUGGAGGAUGAAGACCUUCGGGUCGUAAACUCCUUUCGAUCGAGACGAAUGUUUUCCGGGUGAACAAUCUGGAAAAGUGACGGUACCGAGAGAAGAAGCCCCGGCUAACUCUGUGCCAGCAGCCGCGGUAAUACAGGGGGGGCAAGCGUUGUUCGGAAUUACUGGGCGUAAAGGGCUCGUAGGUGGCCAACUAAGUCAGACGUGAAAUCCCUCAGCUUAACUGGGGAACUGCGUCUGAUACUGGAUGGCUUGAGUUUGGGAGAGGGAUGCGGAAUUCCAGGUGUAGCGGUGAAAUGCGUAGAUAUCUGGAGGAACACCGGUGGCGAAGGCGGCAUCCUGGACCAACACUGACACUGAGGAGCGAAAGCCAGGGGAGCAAACGGGAUUAGAUACCCCGGUAGUCCUGGCCCUAAACGAUGAAUGCUUGGUGUGGCGGGUAUCGAUCCCUGCCGUGCCGAAGCUAACGCAUUAAGCAUUCCGCCUGGGGAGUACGGUCGCAAGGCUGAAACUC
rnacentral:rRNA from 1 species